GUGGUGUGGAAAUAAUGGUUUGAUGCGUGGCUUCACGCGGCCUAUUGCAUGAUCGUGAAAGCAAAGGAGCUCGAGAUGGAUUCAAACACCGACUUUAACUGAAACUCGAAUACUUCAUGGGAGAUGCCAUCCAGUACUUUUUUUAUUAGUCCCACAUCAUAAAUCACAAGAUCCCCUCCCCCCUAACACCUAUGUAAGGACCUC
rnacentral:lncRNA from 1 species